rnacentral:rRNA from 1 species
UACGUAGGGUCCGAGCGUUGUCCGGAAUUAUUGGGCGUAAAGGGCUCGUAGGCGGUUCGUCACGUCGGGGAGUGAAAACUCGGGGCUUAACCCCGAGCCUGCUUCCGAUACUGUGCGCUAGAGUGCGGAAGGGGCAACUGGAAUUCUCGGUGUAGCGGUGAAAUGCGUAGAUAUCGAGAGGAACACCUGCGGCGAAGGCGGGUUGCUGGGCCGACACUGACGCUGAUGCGCGAAAAGCCAGGGGAGCGAACGGG